AGGACGAACGCUGGCGGCGUGCUUAACACAUGCAAGUCGAACGAGGUCCAACCCGUCGCAAGACGGGGGAAGACCUAGUGGCGAACGGGUGAGUAACACGUGAGGAACGUGCCCCGGAGACCGGGAUAACAGCGGGAAACCGCUGCUAAUACCGGAUACCUUCCUUUGAUCGCAUGAUCAGUUGAAGAAAUGGAUUCCGCUCCGGGAGCGCCUCGCGGUCUAUCAGCUUGUUGGUGGGGUAACGCCUACCAAGGCGACGACGGAUAGCUGGUCUGAGAGGACGAUCAGCCACACUGGGACUGAGACACGGCCCAGACUCCUACGGGAGCAGCAGUGGGAAUCUGCCAAUGGCGAAAGCCUGAGGCAGCAACGCCGCGUGUGGGAUGGAAGGCCCGUUGGGUUAGUAAACCACUUUCAGCGAGGACGAAAAGUGACGUACCUAGCGAAGAAGAACGCCCCGACCGAAC
rnacentral:rRNA from 1 species